GGCAUCAUCUACGGCACUGAUGGGAAG
rnacentral:piRNA from 1 species